rnacentral:tRNA from 1 species
CGGGGCGUGGCUCAGUUGGUAGAGCGCGUGGUUUGGGACCAUGAGGUCGCACGUUCGAUUCGUGUCGCCCCGA